CGGGGGUCGGGGGAGCUUCCCGGCGCCGGCGCAGCCCCAGGAGGAGGGACGGGUCCUCGGGGUGGGUGACGGUGUCACCGCCAGCAUCGCCUCUCCCGGGUUUCGGGGUGGCCGGGGCGCCUCCUCACCGGGGCGGCCGCAGAGCAGGGACCCCAGUGCCUCCCAUGGCCGCCCCGACAGGGGACGUUCCCGCCCGGGGCCAUUCUCACCGCAUCGCGCCCGGGCGGGAGGAGCGCUGGGGCGGCCGGGGCUGGUCUCGGCGGCUCCUGGCCCAGGUUCGUGGCUCUCGCGUUCCCCGGGGUCUGGGCCUGCGCCGGCGUCGGGGCGUUUUCCACCCAGUGAUGUGGCGAUGCCUCCCGGGUUUCUGGGGGAAUGUCGGGUCGGCUUCGCGCUGGGCCCACGGCCUCCUCCCGGUGAGACGCCCCUCAGGGCUCCCCCAUCUCAGCGCCCAGGACGCCGGAGCCAUCUCGGUGGGCUGAAGGGAAGUAAGGCUCUUCCAGAGGGCGCCUGCCCCAGAAAACAAAUUUUAUUUACAGGUUUCAAAGAGGCCAAGACGUCCGUGGCCUCCUUCAGGAGAAAGCGGCAAAACCCACGCCCAGAUCCGUUGUGCUUUCAACUUUUCACCAGGAAACUCACUUUUCUAUGGAGAAGAGGAAUGAAAAGCACAGGAAAACGGGCCAGGGAGUUCAUGGAUGGAAAUGGCAUCACAGGCAACAGCCACUCACGAAGAUGGACAAGGACCCAAGAGAGAACCAGUGCUGCUCUACACCUGCCUGUCAGUUCGUAGUGGAGAGGGGCACUGUCUGCCGAGCCUCCAUCCGUGGAAACGCUCCUCUUCGAGCCCGGCCGUUGCUCUGGCUGGGUCUGGUGAGGAAUGGCCGUCAUCACGGACAGUGGCCUUUCCUAGCCCUGACCCUGCAGAGUGCCUCUGGAGCGCAUAGUGCUGGUGGACAGGAAGUCAGCAGAUCGAAGACAGGGUCCUGGCUUCACGGUGGGUGAGCCGUGUGAUGUUUGGGCAAGUCCCUCACGCUCUGUAAGUCUCUCCACUGAGCUGGGUGUGAACGUGGUGCUCUGUGGCAGCGGCACGUGAUGACUCCUGCAUGGAGUUCUCGUCUCAGCAGGGGCAGUGCCUUGCACCCCGAUUUUCAAGCAGCAACCUGAGAGUCCUGGGAGGCCCGUCUUUUCCCCUCAGUCUUUCUGUUGGCCCCACCACUCACAUAUUUCAGGCCUCACCAAGUCCUGUUAAUCCCAUUUCCAAAAAAUGCCUGGAAGCUUCUACUCCUGGCUCUGCAGCCUCCACCUUUCUCUGAGCUCCGCGGACGCUUCCUCACAUCAGCCCUGGAUGACUCCAGGAGCCUCCAAAGGGAGCCCCUGCUUCCUGUUCCCCUCCCCUGCGACCUGCUGCCCAUGCGCUCCCAAGGGGCUCGUUCCUCCAUGUGGAUGGGAUCGUGUUCCUGCUCCCCUGCCCCACAACCCACUGCCCGUGUGCACCCAAGGAGCACGUUUUUCUGUGUGAGUGGGAUCAUGAGCCUCUUUCCUUGGUAGAUGUUCUGUUGGCGCUGGAAUGAAACCUCAGCUCCCCUGUAGCAGGAAGCUCCCCAUGGGCCAGUGCUGGGUUUUGGUCUGUCGGCAUCUGCUCUCCCACCAGAGAAGACUCACAGCUGGCUGCUCCUCUCACCCCUGAGGCUUCACAGUAAACAUCGACUCACAGGAGGGGACCACGUGAUUCCCACCGCGUGUCCUGUUCCCUCCACGGAGCAUGAGCUUGACCAUGGUACAAAGCACCGCACAGCUGCUUUAACCCUGGGAGAGAAGUGUCUUUAUGAGAUUCUCUGUGUCCCCAGGAAAUGCUGCCUUCUCCUGUGAAGCAGUCAGUGGGCCAGGCCCAGUCCUUAAAGAUGCAGAGAACCCAACAGGCCCCUCUUCUGCUCACAGCUUCACCUUAUGUUAUGCAAAAUCCCCACACCACUAGAGCAUGCUGGCACUGGGUCAUGGGCGCCUGCAUUUCCCGCAAGCUUGUGACUCGGGGUGCGUUACCUCAGCCCGUUUCCAAGCAGCCCCAUGAGAUCAGGGCUUAUUGUGUUUGCUCCAUGUAUCAUGAGGGUGCAUCCUGAGAAGGAGAGACUCGCAGGUGGGUGCAAAUGAUUUGCAGUCACAGAGGAGCCAAGAGCUCCUGACGGGACUAAUGAAAGCAUGCCUCACUUUAGCCCUGGGCGGGUUCACGCCUCACUUUAGCCCUGGGCCGGGUUCACGCCUCACCUUAGCCCUGGGCCAGGUUCACGCCUCACCUUAGCCCUGGGCGGGUUCACGCCUCCCUUAGCCCUGGGCCGGGUUCACGCCUCACCUUAGCCCUGGGCUGGGUUCACGCCUCACCUUAGCCCUGGGUGGGUUCACGCCUCACCUUAGCCCUGGGCGGGUUCACGCCUCACCUUAACCCUGGGCCAGGCUGCUGUGUGCCAUGUGCUGUUUCUUCAUCGGGGGGUUUGGGUACAGAAAUACUAAAAAUGAAUCUUGAGAGAGGUACCGAUGGCUUCUUGCGGUUUUUUGGAUACAAACAGAUUGGUUUUUUCUCAAAGAAGAUGAGUGACUAUGUUGUCAGUGUCAUGGUGCAAAGAUGAAUAUGCACCUGCGGCUAACAAAGCUCCCAGCGAUGGGGGAUGACCUCGCAAAUGUGUCGUGAAAUGUGCAGAAGAGGGUUUCAUAUGCAGGACAGAAGUAUCUGGGGGAUAGGUGAGCAGUCAUUUCUCACUUACUCAUCUCUGGGCACUGUGACGUGACUCGCAUCUGCAAUCCCAGUACUUUCAGAGGCCAAGGUGGGAGGAUUGCUUAAGGCCAGGGGUUCAAGACCAGCCUGGGCAACAUAGCAAGACCCCAUCUCUACAAAAAAUUAAAAAAUUAACCACAUGUGGUGGCAUGCAUCUGUAGUCCCAGCUACUCGGCCGGCUGAGGUGGGAGAAUGGCUUGAGCCCAGGAGAUCGAGGCUGCAGUGAGCUAUGAUCCUGCCCCUGCACUUCAGCCUGGGCCACAGAGUGAGAUCGUGUCUGUAAAAAAUCAUCAUCAUUAUAAAAUGAAUCACCUGCCACCUGCCAUCCAUCCUUCUUUCUGAACCGUG
ensembl:lincRNA